UUUUCUCCAAUUUUUUUUCUUCAAAUUUUUCAGAAGUUGACUUGUUACUCAUGAAAAUAAGAUUUCUGUGAGGUCAUUUUCAGUCCCAGGAAAUCGCGAGAAUGCAGGAUUUUGCACCAUUUACUCUAGAGCUUCUGGGGGCCUCGAGCGGCCCCCAUACCCCUCGCCGUAUGACUUCUUUCCCCGGCAUUGCGUACACAUCAUUUUGGCCUAGCUACGCCCCUGAAUAUCAAAUGUCUAUAUAGAACUUAUAUAUAAAAUAUUUACUGUCAGAAAGACUGGGUUUGUUCUAAAACAAAGAGCUGAUAUUCUGUGUUACUUGUAAAACUAUUAAGAAGUGGAGAAAAGUGCCAUAUUAUAAAUUUCAAAAACAUAACAUUUGUUCACUAAAAUUAUUUGUUCAUAUCUUAAGAAGAAUAACAUUAACUUAUAUUCACAUACAUGGAUUUCUAUAUUACUGUUGGGACUUUUGAAGCAUGAUCAAAAUACAUGAAAUAACAAUUUAUAAGAUACAAUACAAUUCAGUACUCUUUUGUGAAAAAAAUAAUCUAAAAGUAUAGUAACCUAAUACAAACUAAGAUGUGGUAUGAUUGCAACAACUAUCUGCCAGAGACCAAAUGAUAGCAACUAUAGGUCACUGUGUCUGUUCCAAGUUAGGAGCCUUUACUUCAUUGAUGUUUGUUAUUGGUGUUUUUAUUGUAUGAGUAUAAACCAAGUUGCUGUAUUUUUUCCUCUGAAUUUUUCACAAACCUUAUCUAGUUUACUAUAUACGUGUUUUGCUUAGUGUUGAAGGUACUGUGAUCUAAUAGUUGUUUACGUCUUGUCGUUUGGUCUCUGUUUGGUAGUUGUGUCAUUGCAUUGGUAAUCAUACAACAUCUCCUUAGUUCUAUAAGGAUGUGAAUUUAACGCAUGAUAAUUAUAAAUAAUAUACUUAUUUAUAGGAGAUAUCAUCUGAUAUUAACCUUAAAUUCAAAUAUUCACUGAAAGUUUUAUUUUCAUUCCUUUUAUUAUUAGAUCAACCAUAAAACAGGGCAUAUUAUUGACUUGAUUUUGUUAGCCACUAUGACAGUAAUUUAUAUUUUUCAAACAUACAUUUGACUUUUGUUUAAAAAGAUAAAUUAAAGGAAGUUAUGAAAAUAUGAUUAUCACAAAAGUUGCCUCUCAAAUAUUAAACACAAUUCACACAAUAUCUAUAUAACAGUUCAGUCUGUAAUUGUUAAAUAUGCUUUUUUUAAACUCUAAAUGGGCCUAAUUCUAUAAACUAGUGUUUUAAACAAAUACAAGAUAAUUCUGACA
rnacentral:lncRNA from 1 species